UACGUAGGGGGCAAGCGUUGUCCGGAAUUAUUGGGCGUAAAGAGCGCGUAGGCGGUCCGAUAAGUCGGCUGUGAAAGUCAAGGGCUCAACCCUUGAAAGCCGGCCGAUACUGUCGGACUAGAGUCCGGAAGAGGCGAGUGGAAUUCCCGGUGUAGCGGUGAAAUGCGCAGAUAUCAGGAAGAACACCCGUGGCUAAGGCGGCUCUCUAGUACGGUACUGACGCUGAGACGCGAAAGCGUGGGGAGCGAACAGG
rnacentral:rRNA from 1 species